CACGUAGGGGGCAAGCGUUGUCCGGAUUUAUUGGGCGUAAAGAGCUCGUAGGUGGUUCGAUAAGUCGGGUGUGAAACCUCCAGGCUCAACCUGGAGACGCCACCCGAUACUGUCGUGACUAGAGUCCAGUAGGGGAGCGUGGAAUUCCUGGUGUAGCGGUGAAAUGCGCAGAUAUCAGGAGGAACACCGGUGGUGUAGACGGCUUUCUGGACCGUAACUGACGCUGAGACACGAAAGCGUGGGGAGCAAACAGG
rnacentral:rRNA from 1 species